UACUUUUCUAAAGGCAGUUUGAACCAGUUUCGUGCAAUGUUGUUAAGUGCGAUUAAAAAAAAAAAGAAAGAUUUGUCAGAAUUAUCAGAAGGAUUUGUCAAAAACGUCUAAGUGUACAAAAUAUAUUUGAAACACUAAUUGUCUAAACAUUUGAUUUCUACACAUUCAGUCAUUUAAACUAAAGGACUACAUCCAAAUUUCCAAAAACUCGCAAAUCCAAAGAAAUCAAUAUUCCUAUCGCCUGAUUUAUCAGCGCCAAAAA